AAGAAAUGUCAGCGAAAUUUGUACGACAUAAGUUUAUCCAAAACUAUGGCAAUGGCAAGAUGUAUUAAGCGAGGUAUCAACGAUGUAACUGGACGUCUGGCAAUUAUCGGAUCGUAAUUAAGUUCACCGCGUUGUGGAAAACUGACUCGAAUCCGAAGUGUGGUUACAUGUGUGAUAUAAGGCAAGAUGGCGUCGCAAUUGGCGAUCAGCUGAUUGUUGUCGCUGGAAUCGGCAGAAGAUGCAUUGUGAGGAAGACUAUAUCGUCGAGGAAACUAUUAGCAUCAUCGAUGCUAUCUGUAUAAACGUUCCCAUCGUAAACUGGCAUUAUAUACACACUGAAUCAUCCAUUCUCCUCCGAGAUCUCGCAGUAUCUGUUGUCAACACGAAAUACUAUACAGUCACCGAACAAGUGUAGUAGCUUCACUUCGACAUAGUUUGGAGAACACUUACCACGUCACAGAUGGUUGACAGGAUCGUAUGAAUCUGUAUUUACGGAUAACGAAGGAUUCCGGGUAUAUGAACAUCUUUGAAGUUACUUUUCAAGUGGGAAAGCUUGCCGUCUA
rnacentral:lncRNA from 1 species